UGGACCAAUGAUGAGAUGUGAUAUGAAUCAAGGACUAAGAUUACUCCAAUUCUGUGCAACUGAAGUCCCUA
rnacentral:snoRNA from 1 species